UGGGGAAUUUUGGACAAUGGGGGCAACCCUGAUCCAGCGACGCCGCGUGAAGGAUGAAGGUCUUCGGAUUGUAAACUUCUUUUGGAGGGGAUGAAUGCCUGCGUGAAUAACGCAGGGUGACAGUACUCUCUGAAUAAGCCACGGCUAACUACGUGCCAGCAGCCGCGGUAAUACGUAGGUGGCAAGCGAUACUCGGAAUCACUAGGCGUAAAGCGCAGGUAGGCGGUUCGGUAAGUCUUUUGUGAAAGCUCCCGGCUCAACUGGGAGAGGUCAAGGGAAACUACCGGGCUAGAGUGUGGUAGGGGAUACUGGAAUUCCUGGUGUAGCGGUGAAAUGCGUAGAUAUCAGGAGGAAUACCUAUGGCGAAAGCAGGUAUCUGGGCCAUCACUGACGCUGAGCUGCGAAAGCUAGGGGAGCAAACAGG
rnacentral:rRNA from 1 species